UCCAUGGUGGUUCAGUGGUUAAGAAUUCCGUGUUGUCACUGAAGAAGCUCAGGUCACUGCUGUGGCUCAGGUUCGAUUCCUGGCCCUGGAA
rnacentral:tRNA from 1 species